UACGGAGGGUGCGAGCGUUGUCCGGAAUCAUUGGGCGUAAAGGGCGCGUAGGCGGCGGGACAAGCGUGCGGUGAAAGCCUGGGGCUCAACCCCGGGUCGGCCGUGCGAACUGUUUUGCUUGAGCACUGUAGAGGCAGGCGGAAUUCCUGGUGUAGCGGUGAAAUGCGCAGAUAUCAGGAGGAACACCGAUGGCGAAGGCAGCUCACUGGGACGGUACUGACGCUGAGGCGCGAAAGCGUGGGGAGCAAACAGG
rnacentral:rRNA from 1 species